rnacentral:rRNA from 1 species
CCUACGGGAGGCAGCAGUGGGGGAUAUUGCACAAUGGGGGAAACCCUGAUGCAGCGACGCCGCGUGGGUGAAGAAGGAUUUCGGUAUGUAAAGCCCUAUCAGCCGGGAAGAAAGAAGACGGUACCUUACUAAGAACCCCCGGCUAACUACGUGCCAGCAGCCGCGGUAAUACGUAGGGAGCGAGCGUUAUCCGGAUUCACUGGGUGUAAAGGGAGCGUAGGCGGCCGUGCAAGCCAGGAGUGAAAGCACGGGGCCCAACCCCGGGACUGCUCUUGGAACUGGGCGGCUGGAGUGCGGGAGAGGCAGGCGGAAUGCGUGGUGUAGCGGUGAAAUGCGUAGAUAGCAGGAGGAACACCGGCGGCGAAGGCGGCCUGCUGGACCGCGACUGACGUUGAGGCUCGAAAGCGUGGGGAGCGAACAGGAUUAGAUACCCUGGUAGUC